AUUGAACGCUGGCGGCAUGCCUUACACAUGCAAGUCGAACGGCAGCACGGGUGCUUGCACCUGGUGGCGAGUGGCGAACGGGUGAGUAAUACAUCGGAACGUACCUUAUCGUGGGGGAUAACGCAGCGAAAGCUGUGCUAAUACCGCAUACGCCCUGAGGGGGAAAGCGGGGGAUCGCAAGACCUCGCGCGAUUAGAGCGGCCGAUGCCUGAUUAGCGUGUUGGUGGGGUAAAAGCCCACCAAGGCGACGAUCAGUAGCUGGUCUGAGAGGACGAUCAGCCACACUGGGACUGAGACACGGCCCAGACUCCUACGGGAGGCAGCAGUGGGGAAUUUUGGACAAUGGGGGCAACCCUGAUCCAGCAACGCCGCGUGAGAGAAGAAGGCCUUCGGGUUGUAAAGCUCUUUUGUCAGGGAAGAAACACCGGCUCUAACACAGUCCGGGAAUGACGGUACCUGAAGAAUAAGCACCGGCUAACUACGUGCCAGCAGCCGCCGUAA
rnacentral:rRNA from 1 species